GUCAGAGUGGUGUAGUGGUUUGUGUGUUAAACUGUGACUUUGGAGAACAGGGUUGGAUUCCUUGCUCAGCUG